ensembl:lncRNA
GUCCUGUGUUGGUUGUUGCAACGUAUUUUGUAGCCGGUCCUGCUGAGAGGACCUGAGCCCGAGGACCAUGCCUCAGGACUAACUGGCCUGAUGACUCCUUGUGGUCCCCAGUCCACCUUGUCGUGCUGUUUUGCCUGCGGCUAUGGAACCCUGACCUGUUCACCGGAUGUGCUACCUUGUCUCGGACCUGUUUUUGAUUUUCUCUAAGUCUGCAUGAUCGGCUAUAAUUAGCCAACUGACAUUUACUCCUGAGGUGCUGACCUGUUGCACCCUCUACAACCACUGAUUAUAGUUAUUUGACCCUGCUGGUCAUCUAUGAACAUCUUGGCUGCGUAUUGUUAUAUUAUCCACCCGGCACAGCCAGAAGAGGACUGGCCACACCUCAGAGCCUGGUUCCUUUCUAGGAUUCUUCCUAGGUUCCUGCCUUUCUCUGGAGUUUUUCCUAGCCACCGUGCUUCUACAUUGCUUGCUGUUGUUUUAGGCUGGGUUUCUGAAUAGCACUGUGACAUCAGCUGAUGUAAAAAGGGCUUGAUAAAUAAAUUUGAUUUUAAGAUGUAACCCGGAGAUGCCAUCAUUUUCCCAAAACUCGGUCCUCCAGAAAGAAAGCAACACUUUUGCAGUUCUGUGUGAUAUCUUUAAAAAAAGCUGCGUUAGAAAGGAUUAGUGUCACGAUGGUAUAAAGGAUUUAAGACAAGUGCAGGAAUACACAAUAGGGGAUUUUAACAUACACAAAACAAACACUUAUACAA